AUGACACCGUUAGCCAGCAGUGUGUCUCCUGAAAAGAGAGCUGAUUAGAGAGGCAGUUUUGAAUUUAGGAGUGGCAAGAUGGCAGCGGCAAACCCUGGCGGUUCUCCGGGUUCGUGGCAACCACGGAUGGGGAAAAUGUGGAGGUUGCACGGCUGAUGUUUACUGUUCAUGGCACAGGAAGAGGCAGUUUUAUUUCAGGAAUGAGUGAGCACAAUCAAAGAAUAGAGCGACUGUGGAGAGACCUCUGGGUGGCCAUUACAUGCUUUACUACGAUGUUCUUCACAACCUUGAGGAAGAAGACCUUCUUGACAUUUCAAAUGCUGCACACCUCUUUUGCUGCCAUUACGUCUUUCUUCCUCGACUGGAGGAUGAUUUUAAUACAUUUUGCAGUGGAUGGGACAACCAUCCACUGCGAACAGAAAACAACAUGAGUCCCAACCAGC